rnacentral:rRNA from 2 species
AACUCUGGCGGCGUGCGUAACACAUGCAAGUCGAACGAGAAUGUACUGACAGAUCCUUAGGGUGAAGAUAGUACAGGACAGUGGCGGAUGGGUGAGUAACGCGUAAGAAACCUGCCUUUCACACCGGGAUAGCAGCUGGAAACGGCUAUUAAUACCGGAUGACACUUUUUCCCCGCAUGAGGAAGAGGUUAAAGAAUUUCGGUGAAAGAUGGUCUUGCGUCUGAUUAGCUAGUUGGUGGGGUAACGGCCUACCAAGGCGACGAUCAGUAGCCGGCCUGAGAGGGUGUACGGCCACAUUGGGACUGAGACACGGCCCAAACUCCUACGGGAGGCAGCAGUGGGGAAUUUUGCACAAUGGAGGAAACUCUGAUGCAGCGACGCCGCGUGAACGAAGAAGGUCUUCGGAUUGUAAAGUUCUGUCCUGGGUGAAGAUAAUGACGGUAACUCAGGAGGAAGCCCCGGCUAACUACGUGCCAGCCGCCGCGGUAA